GGUAAAGGCCAUUCCAAAAUGUGUCUUCUGGGAGUUAAAACAAAAUGGGAACACAGCUGAGGGUCACUGGAACGAUUCUGGCUGCACAACACAAAACACAGUCAAUGAAGUCAUCUGUCAAUGCAAUCACCUGACUUUCUUUGCUGUCUUGCUGCAAAUCGAUGGGAACCAACACUUGGAUGAGAAGACAUUGAGAUCGCUAACAUACAUCACCCAGAUUGGUUGUGGUGUUUCCGGCAUUUUCACAGCAAUUACUUUAAUCAUCCACUUUAUUCUCAGAAAAAGACAAAAGGAAGCUUCCAUCCAGAUCCACGUGAAUCUCUCUGCUGCCUUGUUUCUUCUCAAUGUGAGCUUCUUAACCAGCACAGUGUUCAGUUCCAAGAGCACUGAUGAGCUGUGUAAAGCCAUUGCUGCCCUGUUGCAUUACUCACUGCUUUGCAGUUUUACAUGGAUGGGAAUU